rnacentral:lncRNA from 1 species
CUCCCAUUUCAUCAAAAAAAAAAAAAGAGUAAAAGAGCUAGAAUGCAAAGGGAUUUUGGCCCAGAAUUCUAUAUCCAUAACCAAAGUUUGCAGACUUGGUAUUGGAACUUAUGCCGAUCAGCCGACGGUAUGGGUCGGUAAGGGUCUAUACUAGAUUAGACCAGCAUGAAACGAUAUAAAGGAAAAGAAGCAAACCAGGAGGAGGAAAAGAAAGAAAGUGGAGAGAGGGAGGGAAGGGGAGCUGGACGGAGAGUGUGGCCGGAGGAGACGUCAGUGGUGGCCAUAGGCAGACUGUCAGCAUGCUCGGAGGGCGGCAAGGGCACCACUUCAUUCGUCGAUCUUUGGCUGAGAGAGAGAUAGAGAGAGGAGG